rnacentral:lncRNA from 1 species
UUUUAUUGUAGUAAUUUGUGAUUUCCAAAAAUGCCCUUUGUUCUGAACCUGUUGGACCAUUAAGGUAAAUUGCUUCUUCCGAGCUCUUGUGCACCUUGUCUUUUGUAUAUGUAUCCGACAGUUGAACCCUAAUAGGCGGCGUUCCUGUUCGUAUUAAGGGGCGAAAACGAAGCAUAUGAAAGAGGAUUGAACCUUCCUGAGAGGAAGACGAUAGGAAUCCUAAGAAUAAGAGCCGAUGAAUGACGUAGGUAGGUAGGCACCGUCACCAUCAUCAUCACCGUCGAAGAGGGCACCGAGAUGAGGAUGUCGGCCGGAGGUCAUGGCUCCGUCG